GGCAUAUCAAAUACAGAGAGAGCCUGGAUCCAAAUCUGAACAUUCUGACUCAAUCCCUUACAAAGAUAGAUCAGAGUUAUGAUGCUUGAAUCCAGCUCUGAAUGCUGACUCAGAACUUCCCCAAAAUUCUGAAAGAGGGCUUUGGAGCGGAGCUGGAACGCGGAGCAGUGGAGCUGCAGGUUUUUGCCUGGAGCUGGAGCGGAGCCGGAACACAGCUCCAAAGCCCUGGUUACUUGAUAUUACUGCGAUUAGAUCAUAGUAUAACAGAUUGGAUGUCAGUAUACAGUGUGGUGGUCUAACAAGAUAAACUGCAGGACCCACUGAAUUCUGAAGAUCCUCCACAUCCCAUGGCAACCAUUUGGACCAUGGUAUAUGGCAACCAUGGAAUUUUGAGCUAGCCUGAGAACCAUUCUGGGGAGCUUCUGUGUUACUUCUGUGAAGAGGAACUGUCAGCUCAAGCAGAGACUCCAGAGCUGUGGGGGAUCUUUACAUCUAACCUACAGGCAUUUCUAAGGCACUACACCAGCACCAGUUCUAUUUUAACUCCAUCCCACAUACUGAACAUGUAUUAGACUUGGAUUUGGGUGGGAGGAUUACGUUUAAUAUCAACUGUCUCCAACAUGACAACACUGCCUCCUCAAUCACCAUGCUGAACUGAGUACCCUCUGCAUGACAUCUGAGCUACCAUGACACUGCAGCAGCAUCUAACCAGGUUGCAGUUGCAACAUCAGACGCCUUAUCCAUAAUCAAAUCAUGGACUAUGUUAACCUCAUUAGCCCCUGAUCUUCCACUGAACAGCAUGAAAUGGAGAGCAGAGUCUUUAUCAGCUGACACCCAGAACUGUCGAGUAGACACUUCAGCUGGGACCAAAGGAAUCAGUAAAAAAACAUCUUGGGCCUCUUCAACUCCCAAAGGACAAUGUGUUCCUACUCCUACCUACAACUGGAACUGACAGAGUCAAACUGCAGUAACUAGUCCCCCUUGAACCUUUAUAUCUCCAAGCCACAGCAGUGGCCCUCAACCCUCUCAGAUACAGUAAGGUGUCCAGUAAAAGGUCACAGUACUACAAAUGGGUUCUCAGGUGUAGACCUCCAUGGCAGAUUGCAUGGACCUGCAGGAAGAUGCAACAUUUUGCAGACUCCUCUCAAUCACUUAGAUUAAAAAACCUCCCCAGAGUCAUCCACUCUUAACUGUUCAACUCUCAUGAAUCUCUCAAACUCCAUGGAGUUUACGUCCAAAACUGCAGGAGCCCUGACUCUUAAUUUUCUGGCUAUUACCACUAGACCAUACCUUCUCUGUUACGUUAGGAGACGUGGAAGAAACACUGAGCGUGAUAGCUUUUUUAAAAGCAAUUCUUAUGUGAGGGAUGUUCGCUAAUCCCAGUGAGGUUUUCCUUCAGUUUCUUAAGGCUAAUAUUGCUGGCUCCACAGUAACACGUGGAAUUGAACAGACAGACUGAAUUCUGAAAACAAACAGUAGUAACCUAAGCUUGACAUUGUAAAUGAUGCUUAUUGAACCCAUGUCCUGAUGAAAAGGCUAGGGGCUGGCAACAUGGUACAAGGAAGACAAAAUAGAAGCUUAAUUAACUUAACAGGAAAGCAAAAAGCUUUUAGAUAAAAGGGAGAGGGCCAAUUCUCAGCCAAAAGUUUAGAGGCUUCUCAGAACCUUCCAAGGCCAAACGUGUGUAAUGCUGACUUCCUUCCAUCUCUCUUAGUGACAGAAAUAACUUCAACAGAGCGAAUUCCAUCAACGUACCUUUUACCCAAAGCCGAUUCUUCAAAUGAAAGCCACACAUGUUGCUAAAUUGAAAGGUAAAUGAGGAACAGGAAAGGAAACUCCAUUUGUGAAAGUGUGACUCUCCCCACGCUUAUGCCCCAGCACAUGAGAACGGCUGCCAGCUUGUAAGGACAUGAGCUAACCAGGGGGAAAUGAGACCCAGGAGAAUGAGCCUAUAGCCAACAAGCAGCAUGGAAAGGGGAAAAGGGUUGAACAUGUCCUUCCUCCCUCCCUCAAGAGCUGUUAAGACAUCAAUCGUACUGGAAAGAGACAGCCCUAGUCACAGGCAAAGAAAGCCCAGCAUCCAACAGGCACUGCCACCCCUUCCCCUUGGGGAAGAUCCUCUGCCUAUAGACAACCAGCUGGGUGAUCUUGUAUCUCAAGGUGCACAGUUUCCAUUGACACAGCAAAUCCACACUUCAGGAAAACACAAGAUCAAAUCUCCAAUGGCAAGCAUUUCUGUCUGGAUUCAUGUUUGUGGGCACACCCAAGUGACCCAGAGCAUCAUCCAAGUUUGCUCCUGAUUCACAAUGCUGGUUCAAACUUUUC